rnacentral:lncRNA from 1 species
AUGCUGAAAUCGCUGAAUUCCUCAGCGGAACGGCGCCAACUCAGCAGCGCGGUUUCCACACUUUCCCGGAGCGGGACUCCGCUCCCCGCGCCGGCUCACGGCCUUCCCGCCCUACAGGGUGUACAAGACGCGAGCCGACGUGUGCUGCGGGGCGCGGCAGAAGAGAAGCGCCAGAAGCCACACAGAAAAGCUUCAAUUCGACUGCCACCGAGAGCGCGAAGGGGCCACAAGCCAAUUUCCGCAAAGGAGACGAGCUGGGCGAGGCUCGGUCUGGCCCCCAACUUAAACCUGUCCGCAGCCUCAGCCAAGGGUCGCAUGUCCUGGGGGCGCUCUGUGGUAGCCACGGCCGCCCGGCUUCGCACCUUUGCGGCUUUGGUCCGAGCGCCCAGCCUCGGCCGCCGCGUGGGUUUUCCCGCUCUCGCCGAAGCGUGCCAUGCCCAUGCCCCAUUCCCUGGCCAGGCUCUACCCUGCACCAAUCCGAAAGGAGGCGGCACUCUGCCGGGCGGUGUGCGUACGUCCUGGAAACUCAACAGGAAACAGCAAAACGAUUGGAGAGCAACUCAGGAGGGACCAUUUAGUACUUCUGGAGUCCUGGGUGCAAGGUUGGGGCCUGAGCCUCGGGAGUUGUCACCACUAGGAGCCAAGGCAAGAGAUGAAAAGGUUGGUACUAGAACAGAAGGGGUAAAAGUAGCUACUUUGUGUGCACUUGCUCCAACAUCAUUGCCAAAGCACAGCUUCUCCAGUCAGGCAGGGCCCAAUUUCAGAGUUCUUUGCUGCCACAGCUACAGCCUCAUUUUGCUGCCAGGGCUCAGGCUUUGAGAUCUGAUGUGUGCAACUUCUCACCAUCACCUGUCACACAACCCCUCCCCAGAAACAUCACAGAAGUGGGGGUGGGGGUAUAUUUUCUUUUCCCUGGCAAAGUACAGGAGACAAAUGUUUCAGAUAUCCCAUUGACAAUAAUGUCUGUGUCACUUUACCAAGUUUGAGGCGCUCUACCAUGGGUCUUUCAUUCCUGGACCAUAAAGUGUCUGUAUGGCUUUUACAACUCCUCAUCUCUGUGCCUUUCUGUCACCCCACUUGCUUGAAACACUCUUUUUUUUUUUUUUUUUUUUUUUUUUUUUUUUGAGACGGAGUCUCACGCUGUUGCCCAGGCUGGAGUGCAGUGGCGCGAUCUCGGCUCACUGCAAGCUCCGCCUCCCGGGUUCCCGCCAUUCUCCUGCCUCAGCCUCCUGAGUAGCUGGGACUACAGGCGCCCGCCACCGCGCCCGGCUAAUUUUUUUGUAUUUUUAGUAGAGACGGGGUUUCACUGUGGUCUCGAUCUCCUGACCUUGUGAUCCACCCGCCUCGGCCUCCCAAAGUGCUGGGAUUACAGGCUUGAGCCACCGCGCCCGGCCGCUUGAAACACUCUUAUUAUUUCUCCCUCUCAUUUUAUAUCUAUGAAAGUCAUCCAUAAAUAAUAGCUCAUCCUGAAAUAAUUAUACUUAUUGAGUCCUUACUAUGUGCCAGACACUGUGCUAAGCAAUUUACAUGAAUUAUUUAAUCUUCACAGCAAACACAAUUUUACUAUCUCCAUUUUACAAAUGAGAAAAUCGAGUCACAAGGAAGUUAGGUAUGUGUCCUGAGGAUAGGGAUGAUAUCUUAUUUAUCUUGCAUUUGUGAGACACUGUGCAAAUAUAUUUGCAUCUUUCAGGCACUGGAAUAAAUAAGAAGACAAGUAAAAUUUGGCCUCUGCUCUCAAAAGCAAAAACAAACAAACAAAAAAGAUUAAACACGUAAAAUGCCACCCAUCUAUUGGCUGGAUCCCAAUGUCCAGAAUGAACUGCUCUUUUUCCGCUGUCAGAAAGCACGUUGGUUUCACCUGUAUUAACU